GCCUCAUGUACACAGAAUUGUACAAAUAGAAUUGUAAAUUCGUUUUUAGUGGACUCGUAUUUAUUUUAGUAUAGCUAAAUGCGUAGUGUAGUGAGAACGAACGAACGUGUUGAGGUCACACCGAGCAGCAUCGUCGCAGUGUUUGUGCAAUUGAGACUGAAAAGUGUCCGAGUAGAUCCAAUCCCCAUCCCCCAAUCAUUUUGGCACUUCAUCAAUACGCACCGAAUCGAAAUGAUGACUGAGUGCCAGAGACUGACUGACGACAUGACUGGCAAUGUUAAUAAUGUUGUGCGGAAAUUUCUACGCGCACUUCAAGUACACGACGCCUCCCUGCCUGCCUGCCUGCCUGCCUGCCUGCCG
rnacentral:lncRNA from 1 species